rnacentral:rRNA from 1 species
AUUGAACGCUGGCGGCGUGCCUAACACAUGCAAGUCGAUCGGUAACGCGGGGGCAACCCUGGCGACGAGAGGCGGACGGGUGAGCAAUGCUUGGGAAUCUGCCCAUCAGCGGGGGACAACCCGGGGAAACCCGGGCUAAUACCGCAUACGCUCUACGGAGGAAAGCCGGGGACCGCAAGGCCUGGCACUGACGGAUGAGCCCAAGCCGGAUUAGCUAGUUGGCGGGGUAACGGCCCACCAAGGCGACGAUCCGUAGCUGGUCUGAGAGGACGAUCAGCCACACCGGAACUGAGACACGGUCCGGACUCCUACGGGAGGCAGCAGUGGGGAAUUUUGGACAAUGGGCGCAAGCCUGAUCCAGCAAUGCCGCGUGCAGGAAGAAGGCCUUCGGGUUGUAAACUGCUUUUGUACGGAACGAAACGGCCCUGGUUAAUACCUGGGGCUAAUGACGGUACCGUAAGAAUAAGCACCGGCUAACUACGUGCCAGCCGCCGCAGUAAAAC